rnacentral:rRNA from 1 species
GAGUUUGAUCUUGGCUCAGAACGAACGCUGGCGGCGUGGAUUAGGCAUGCAAGUCGAACGAGAAAGGGUUCGCAAGGACCCGAGUAAAGUGGCGAAAGGGUGAGUAGUACCUAGGUAACCUGCCCUGAAGAUGGGGAUAACGGGCUCUAACGGGCCGCUAAUACCCAAUGUAUCGUCGGAACCGCCUGGCUCUGACGGCAAAGGUAGCCUCUGUAUACAAGCUUCCGCUUCGGGAGGGGCCUCGGACCUAUCAGCUAGUUGGUGUGGGUAACGGCCCACCAAGGCCUGGGACGGGUAGCCGGUCUGAGAGGAUGGUCGGCCACACUGGGACUGAGACACUGCCCAGACUCCUACGGGAGGCUGCAGUCGAGGAUCUUCUGCAAUGGGCGCAAGCCUGACAGAGCGACGCCGCGUGGGGGAGGAA